rnacentral:rRNA from 1 species
AAACCAGCACCUCAAGUGGUCAGGAUGAUUAUUGGGCCUAAAGCAUCCGUAGCCGGCUCAGUAAGUUUUCGGUUAAAUCUGUACGCUCAACGUAAAGGCUGCCGGGAAUACUGCAGAGCUAGGGAGUGGGAUAGGUAGACGGUACUCGGGAGGAAGUCGUAAAAUGCUUUGAUCUCUCGAUGACCACCUGUGGCGAAGGCGGUCUACCAGAACACGUCCGACGGUGAGGGAUGAAAGCUGGGGGAGCAAACCGGAUUAGAUACCCGAGUAGUCC